AGAUUGAACGCUAGCGGGAUGCUUUACACAUGCAAGUCGAACGGCAGCGCGGACUUCGGUCUGGCGGCGAGUGGCGAACGGGUGAGUAAUAUAUCGGAACGUGCCCAGUAGCGGGGGAUAACUACGCGAAAGCGUGGCUAAUACCGCAUACGCCCUACGGGGAAAGGGGGGAUUCUUCGGGACCGUCGUCACUAUUGGACGCGGCCGAUAUCAGAUUAGCUAGUUGUGAGGUAAAGGCUCACCGAAGGCGAACGAUCUGUAGC
rnacentral:rRNA from 1 species